rnacentral:rRNA from 1 species
ACGGAGGGUGCAAGCGUUGUUCGGAAUUAUUGGGCGUAAAGAGCAUGUAGGCGGUCUGUUAAGUCUGGUGUGAAAGCCCUGGGCUCAACCCAGGAAGUGCAUUGGAUACUGGCAGACUUGAGUAUGGGAGAGGAAAGUGGAAUUCCGAGUGUAGGAGUGAAAUCCGUAGAUAUUCGGAGGAACACCAGUGGCGAAGGCGGCUUUCUGGACCAAUACUGACGCUGAGAUGCGAAAGCGUGGGGAGCAAACAGG